UAGGGAAUCUUGCGCAAUGGGCGAAAGCCUGACGCAGCGACGCCGCGUGCGGGAUGAAGGCCUUCGGGUCGUAAACCGCUUUCAGCAGGGACGAAAUUGACGGUACCUGCAGAAGAAGGCCGGCCAACUACGUGCCAGCAGCCGCGGUGAUACGUAGGGUCGUAGCGUUGUUCCGGCAAGAUUAUUGGGCGUAAAGAGCUCGUAGGCGGUUCGGCAAGUCGGAUGUGAAAUCUCCACGCUUAACGUGAAGGGCGCAUUCGAAACUGCCGUGACUCGAGUCCGGUAGGGAGUGCGGAAUUCCGGUGUAGCGGUGAAAUGCGCAGAUAUCGGGAGGAACACCAGUGGCGAAGGCGGAACUUC
rnacentral:rRNA from 1 species